GAUGAACGCUGGCGGCGUGCCUAAUACAUGCAAGUCGAGCGAACAGACGAUGAGCUUGCUCCUCUGACGUUAGCGGCGGACGGGUGAGUAACACGUGGAUAACCUACCUAUAAGACUGGGAUAACUUCGGGAAACCGGAUCUAAUACCGGAUAAUAUAUUGAACCGCAUGGUUCAAUAGUGAAAGACGGUUUUGCUGUCACUUAUAGAUGGAUCCGCGCCGGAUUAGCUAGUUGGUAAGGUAACGGCUUACCAAGGCAACGAUGCGUAGCCGACCUGAGGGGGUGAUCGGCCACACUGGAACUGAGACACGGUCCAGACUCCUACGGGAGGCAGCAGUAGGGAAUAUUCCGCAAUGGGCGAAAGCCUGACGCAGCAACGCCGCGUGAGUGAUGAAGGUCUUCGGAUCGUAAAACUCUGUUAUUAGGGAAGAAAAAAUGUGUAAGUAACUAUGCACGUCUUGACGGUACCUAAUCAGAAAGCCACGGCUAACUACGUG
rnacentral:rRNA from 1 species